rnacentral:lncRNA from 1 species
UUGAACCAGCUAUGCCAUGAAAGUGGCCAUAAGAUUGAGCAUUUGGGUUGAACGCCAUGAAUCUUGACACAUGAUAUCUCAUUUCUGAGAACACUUUUUUUAAAUAAUUUCCAUAUUACAAGUUUAUUAUUUUUCCUGGUGACUUAGUCACAUAUAUUGACACAAUGUGAAGGUUUUCCAAUAUUUUUAUUUUAUUUUAUUUUUUUAUACCCGUUUCAAAAUGCGGCCAAAACGGCGGGAAUGACCGUUUAUAGCUAGUGGUUGAAUCUUGGAAUAUUUUUGGUGUUUCUCUGAUUAAAUAGAUACUUAAGUACCUAGAAAUGAUUUUUGAAAAAAAUAAAGAGGAAACUACGAGGUAGCUGCAGUUCAAAUUUGACCCGCUUCCUCCUAAAUCGGCGGAAAUUUGUCUUUUUCACGAGAGGUGGAUAAAAGCUUUUGACACCCAACCAUUUGGUCAACUGUGCACUAAAUAUGGCCUAAUAUUUUAGAAAAAUGAUUUGGUCCUAUUUUGCAACAAAUAUUUGGUAGGCCCUUCACAAUUAAACCCAUUUUGGGCACACGAAAAAUGGAAAAUUGAGUUUUCGUCCAAAGAAAAUGAAAACUUUCUUAAGCAACAUUGUUUGACAUUCCUAGAUGCACUCUUGUGCAAAAUAUGAGAUGAAUACUUGAUUUUUUCAUGUAAAAAAGUAGAAGAAAAACAAAAGAAAAACACAAUUAUAUGUGCUCUACUCCUAUUGGUGGAAUUUGUUGUCACACCAAUCGAUGACAUGGCGCACAUCCAUCCAUCCUUCUCUCCAUACCACAUCCAUCCAUCCAUCCAUCCAUCCAUUUAUGUACAGAAAAAAAAGAAAAUGAAAAAGAAAACCCCACCCGCAUCCACCUACCCAAACCCUACCCAGAUCCCAUCGAUCCCCUCCUCCCAUCGCACCCCUCCUCCCCUAUCUCCUCGCCGCCGCCAACGACGGUGCUCCCCUCGAUCCCUCCCACCGUUGUCUCCCUCCCUCAAAUCGAGCUCCCCCUCCCGUCUCUGUCCCACCUCUCGAAGCUCCCGUGCCCACUGCCGCCGCUGACUACCACACCGUCGUGGCCGGCCACGAUGGCCAGUACCUGUACUACUCCUACGGCGGUGGCGUCGACGCCUUGUGCCGUUGUGACAGGCCGGCGACGGCAGCCAUGCCCACCGAGGAGGGCUUCUUCGAUGACAUCUUCGACGCCCGUGCACGUCAGGUGCAGUCUAGGUCCAGGUCCAAGUCCACCAAGUCGUCGUUGGUGAUCAGCUUUGGCCGCUCCGCCUUCCGAUCGCCGGCCACCAGCGGCGGCGCGGCAACGCUGCCCUCUCCUCCUUCACGUCCAAGCUCAGGUGAACCAGACGUCAGGUCCGAUUCAGGCGAUGCCUCCCUCUCCUCUCCCACCCAAGAUCCCCAUAGCAGUUCGAUCUGUAGUUGUGUAAUUAGGUAGCCAGAUCCCCAUUUCGUGUCCAUGUAGUCGUAGCACCAUUAGAAUUCAACCAAACCAAUCAAGCAAGCAAUGUGUUCAUGUAGAUGUAGCGGUUGAUCAGCAUCAAUGGCGGGCACCGGGGUGUUCUCGUAGAUCCAAACUGGGCAACUCCAGUUAUUAGUCAGUAGUAGAAUUUGUUGUGCUUCUGAACAUGUUGUUCUAUUAUUGCACUGCAUUUUGUACCAUCCGUCACAAGGUUCAAUUAAGAUUCAGUUGCAAGCUUUGCAUGUCAUUGAGAUUCUGGAAGAUGAUUUGGUUCACUUCACCCAAUGAUUUCUUCAUCAUAAACUGAGCAUAUGCGGUUUAUUCAAGAACCCUCCUUAUUGAAGUGUGCAUCCAUUCCAUUGAGAUGGCUAUUGCAAGCAGCAAAGUUAUAUUGAUAACAGUUCGUGUGCUUGCUCACUAACAAGUUUGCAUUUCUGCCCAAUAACAGGUUCCACUUCUUGGUGGAGCGAUGUGCACGUGCACCUGGCAUUUCUUCUACAACUGAGUGUCUCUCGAGGUAACAUAUUAACCUGAAGGCAAAGCAGUUGCAUUCCCUUUCCUACCAAUCAUCGAUAUCAGCUGCACCGCAGGACUCAACCGUACCGUACGCCGGGCGUUGUCAUGUAGAUUUUGCCCACCGUGUAGAUUUUGGCCCUGCAAUCCGGUUCGAGAAUUCACUGUCUGACAGUCAUUGAGGAAGUGCAUGCAUGGACUAUGCAAUGCUCUUUAAUGUAGAAGCUCUGUCCCUCUGGUCUAUAUUACUGUACUAGUCAGUGUCACAUUUCAGUUGAUCUGUUAGGGCGAGAAAAGGAAAUUGCCAGGCAACUACUCCAUCCAUACUUGCAAAGACUUCUUGUAUUUUGGUACAGAGGCACUAGUUACUAGUGUGUUUAUCAAAGCUUUACUAGUGUUUAUGAGUAAAACUGUCGUGUCUAUUUCUCUAAACGUUCUGCAAAUAAUUUUAAAACGUACAGUUUAUGUAGUUUCAUUGUGGUUGAUUGACAUCCCUGUGAAUAUAAAAUUCAGGACCAACUGUUAGCUUUUUGUGAAGCAAAAACAUUUGGUAAAAAAAUCAUAGAAGCCCCCAAUAAGUCAAUUUAUAGUUGACAGAAGAGUAUGAUUUGGUGUUGGUGUGUGUGAACUUCUGACAUUUUGAUCUCUGAAUGUUAGUUGGACAUUUUGCUAGUCUGACAUUUUGAUAUCUGACUGCUAGUUUGACAUUUUGAUAUCUGAAUACCUUUCUCCCCCCUCAUCUUUUCUUCUUCUGCUCUCUGCCUGACCCCCUUCUCAUCUCUGUUUCGAACCACGACGUCACCAUGGGAGAAGAAGGCGUGAUGUGUUGUGCUGCUGCUCGGGAGGGACGCCAUGGGCCUCCCUCCACUGCUUCUUCUCUUCCCCUAACUCCAUCAAGGUGAUGGAUUGGUACAGCGACCUACUCCCCUGCUUCCUAUGUUAAUUUGGUGUGCGAUGUGGAUGUGAUGUAUUUUAGGCAUGAUUAAAUACGUAUUUUGGUUCAACUCUGACUGAAACAACUUGUUGGUUCAGUUUCUUGUAUGAAGAACAAAUAUGACGAACAUUUUUUGUUUAGUUUACGACCGCCAGCUUUUGACCAUCUGUUUUUGGUCACA